CACAGACCAAAUCCAAGUAACAGUAACAGAUAUGCGGCGGCAGCCGAAAACCCCAGCCGCAUCUUUUUCCCAACAGCAAGAUUACCAACCAUCCACCUCAGCUCAUUCCUCGUCCCCAAAACGACGCCUCCGAUCCCCAACAAGCCUUUCAUCCUCUGGAGGUGGUGCAGCAGUAAUUGGCCGGUCAAUCGGUUUUGGAACCUCGCUUGGUUGGAUGGAGAAUCGG
rnacentral:lncRNA from 1 species